UACGAAGGGGGCUAGCGUUGUUCGGAAUUACUGGGCGUAAAGCGCACGUAGGCGGAUACUUAAGUCAGGGGUGAAAUCCCGGGGCUCAACCCCGGAACUGCCUUUGAUACUGGGUAUCUCGAGUCCGGAAGAGGUGAGUGGAAUUCCGAGUGUAGAGGUGAAAUUCGUAGAUAUUCGGAAGAACACCAGUGGCGAAGGCGGCUCACUGGACGCGUAUUGACGCUGAGGUGCGAAAGCGUGGGGAGCAAACAGG
rnacentral:rRNA from 1 species